rnacentral:rRNA from 1 species
AGAGUUUGAUCCUGGCUCAGAGCGAACGCUGGCGGCAGGCCUAAUACAUGCAAGUCGAACGCACCUUCGGGUGAGUGGCGGACGGGUGAGUAACACGUGGGAACGUGCCCUUUGGUUCGGAAUAAUCCGGGGAAACCUGGCCUAAUACCGGAUGAGCCCUUCGGGGGAAAGAUUUAUCGCCAUUGGAGCGGCCCGCGUCUGAUUAGCUAGUUGGUGGGGUAAAGGCCCACCAAGGCUACGAUCAGUAGCUGGUCUGAGAGGAUGAUCAGCCACACUGGGACUGAGACACGGCCCAGACUCCUACGGGAGGCAGCAGUAGGGAAUCUUGCGCAAUGGGGGAAACCCUGACGCAGCCAUGCCGCGUGAAUGAUGAAGGUCUUAGGAUUGUAAAAUUCUUUCAGCGGGGAAGAUAAUGACUGUACCCGCAGAAGAAGCUCCGGCUAACUUCGUGCCAGCAGCCGCGGUAAUACGAAGGGGGCUAGCGUUGCUCGGAAUUACUGGGCGUAAAGGGCGCGUAGGCGGGUGUUUAAGUCAGAGGUUAAAUCCCAGGGCUCAACCCUGGAACUGCCUUUGAUACUGGGCACCUAGAGUUCGGGAGAGGUAUGUGGAACUCCGAGUGUAGAGGUGAAAUUCGUAGAUAUUCGGAAGAACACCAGUGGCGAAGGCGACACACUGGCCCGAUACUGACGCUGAGGCGCGAAAGCGUGGGGAGCAAACAGGAUUAGAUACCCUAGUAGUCC